UGGCCGCGGGAUUAGGAAGCACCGGCUAACUCCGUGCCAGCAGCCGCGGUAAUACGGAGGGUGCAAGCGUUGUUCGGAUUUAUUGGGCGUAAAGCGCGUGUAGGCGGUCUCUUAAGUCUGAUGUGAAAGCCCUGGGCUCAACCCAGGAAGUGCAUUGGAUACUGGGAGACUUGAAUACGGGAGAGGGUAGUGGAAUUCCUAGUGUAGGAGUGAAAUCCGUAGAUAUUAGGAGGAACACCGGUGGCGAAGGCGGCUACCUGGACCGAUAUUGACGCUGAGACGCGAAAGCGUGGGGAGCAAACAGGAUUAGAUACCCUGGUAGUCCACGCCGUAAACGAUGAGAACUAGGUGUCGCGGGUAAAUCACUAGUGC
rnacentral:rRNA from 1 species